AGCGGCGGACGGGUGAGUAAUGCCUAGGAAUCUGCCUGGUAGUGGGGGAUAACGUUCCGAAAGGAACGCUAAUACCGCAUACGUCCUACGGGAGAAAGCAGGGGACCUUCGGGCCUUGCGCUAUCAGAUGAGCCUAGGUCGGAUUAGCUAGUUGGUGAGGUAAUGGCUCACCAAGGCGACGAUCCGUAACUGGUCUGAGAGGAUGAUCAGUCACACUGGAACUGAGACACGGUCCAGACUCCUACGGGAGGCAGCAGUGGGGAAUAUUGGACAAUGGGCGAAAGCCUGAUCCAGCCAUGCCGCGUGUGUGAAGAAGGUCUUCGGAUUGUAAAGCACUUUAAGUUGGGAGGAAGGGCAGUAAGCUAAUACCUUGCUGUUUUGACGUUACCGACAGAAUAAGCACCGGCUAACUUCGUGCCAGCAGCCGCGGUAAUACGAAGGGUGCAAGCGUUAAUCGGAAUUACUGGGCGUAAAGCGCGCGUAGGUGGUUCGUUAAGUUGGAUGUGAAAGCCCCGGGCUCAACCUGGGAACUGCAUCCAAAACUGGCGAGCUAGAGUACGGUAGAGGGUGGUGGAAUUUCCUGUGUAGCGGUGAAAUGCGUAGAUAUAGGAAGGAACACCAGUGGCGAAGGCGACCACCUGGACUGAUACUGACACUGAGGUGCGAAAGCGUGGGGAGCAAACAGGAUUAGAUACCCUGGUAGUCCACGCCGUAAACGAUGUCAACUAGCCGUUGGGUUCCUUGAGAACUUAGUGGCGCAGCUAACGCAUUAAGUUGACCGCCUGGGGAGUACGGCCGCAAAGGUUAAAACUCAAAUGAAUUGACGGGGGCCCGCACAAGCGGUGGAGCAUGUUGGUUUAAUUCGAAGCAACGCGAAGAACCUUUACCUGGCCUUUGACAUGCUGAGAACUUUCCAGAGAUGGAUUGGUGCCUUCGGGAACUCAGACACAGGGUGCUGCAUGGGCUGUCGUCAGCUCGUGUCGUGAGAUGUUGGGUUUAAGGUCCCGUAACGA
rnacentral:rRNA from 1 species